rnacentral:tRNA from 1 species
ACUUCUAAAGGAUAACAGCUUAUCCAUUGGUCUUAGGAACCAAAAACUCUUGGUGCAAGUCCAAGUAGAAGUU